ACGCGAUUCUCUUUCUGUUAUAUUGAAAUCUCCAAAUUAAGGUAUGCAUCGUCGGUGUGUGGGGUACCGGAGGAGUUGGAAAAACUACAUUGGUGAAGAAUCUGAACAACGAGCUCUUAAAGAAUCUCUUAAAGAAUGUGCCAAGUUCCAAACUGUCUUUUGGCGUUGUUGUGAUAUGGGUUACAGUGCCCAAACCGCCAAUAGACGUAAGAAAGAUUCAAGAACAAAUUGCCAGCAGAUUAAACCUGAAGGUAGAUAAAGAGGCAAGUGUAGAAAGCAUUUCGAGCAAAAUUGCGUUUUCUGGAUGUUUGUAAGCAAAUGAGGACAGAUGUCGAAAUGCAGGUUUACACAUUGGACGAGGAUGAAUCUUGGCUACUGUUUGCCAAAAAUGUGGGAGAUAUUGUCAAUCUGGAGCAAAUCCAUCCAUUGGUAAAGGAAAUUGCAAGAGAGUGUGAUGGUUUACCUUUAGCCAUCACUGUUGUUGGAUCAUCCAUGAGAGGGAAGACGAAGGUUGAGCUCUGGGAAGAUGCUUUGAAAUCACUUAGAAUGUCGGAACCUCAUAGCAAAGUUGUAGAAGAUAAGGUUUACAGUGUCAUCAAGUGGAGUUUUGAUUCUUUAGAAUCUCAGGAUAUUGAAUUAUCCUCAGAGCAAAGAAGGAAACAUGUGAACAAAAAGAGAGGUGAUAUUCGAAGUUGUUUCUUAUAUUGUUCCUUAUAUCCGGCGGCUAUUCCGACAGAUGAUCUCAUACAUUGCUGGUGGGCGGAGGGGAUCCUCGGUGAACAUGACACAUAUGAAGAAGCCUACAACAGGGGAAUCACAUUGAUUGAGAGUCUAAAAGAUGGAGAUUUGUGUGAAGAUGCACGACCUGGUGUGUGAUGUUGCCAUAUGGAUAGCUAGUACCUUUGGGAAUGAACAGACUUCUGUUUUUCAAGCUGGAAUUGGGUUGACUGAGAUAUCACAUAUUAAAAUAUCAGCUUCUGUCAAGAGAAUAUCUUUUGUAAGCAACGAAAUUGAAUGUCUAUCAGAUAUUAAAAUAUCAACUUCUGUCAAAUUACUUUUGCAAGAAAAUUAUCCCCUUGAGAAAAUAUCCCACAAAUUCUUUUUGGCAUUUCCAGCUCUAAGAGUUCUGAAUCUGAGUCGCACUAGUAUUAGAGAACUGCCUUCUUCCAUCAAUAAUUUAUGUCAACUAUUGCUAAUCUUACUACAAUGUUGCUUUGAGUUGAAAGAGUUGCCACCUGUUGCUAAUCUUCACAAUUUGGAAGUGCUCGAUUGUGAAUAUACAGAGUUACGUUGUCUGCCCCAAGGAAUGGAAAAUUUAACAAAUCUGAGGCUAUUAAAUAUGCCUGUUCCUGAUUUGAAGAGCAUCAGAAAGGGAUUUUUCCUCAAAUUUCCUAGCAUUGAAAUGUUAAAUAUGCCGCAUAGCUGUCUUGGAGCGACCUCUUUUGAUGAGAUAUCAUCUCUACACAAUCUGUCUUAUCUUUUUAUUACAGUGGAUAGCUCAUCAUGUUUCAAUAGAGAUUACAGCUGGAUGACUAGAUUGAAAGGAUUUCACAUUCAUAUUGGGGAAACUUUAACUUAUGUGCCAUACAACAAGUCAAUGAGGGUGAUAAAUGUCCACAAGUGUGCAAUUUUCAGUAACGGAGAACUCUCAGGCAUGUUGCAGUUUGCUUCAGAUUUGUACUUGAAAGAAUGCAUCGGUCUCAGUAAGUUGAUUGCAUACGACACUUUUAAUGGAUUAAAAUCACUAAACAUACAGAGCUGCUCUUGUUCUUUCGGAUAAUUUGCCCUUUGCCAAAUCUUAAAUAUCUCCACCUCAGUUACUUAUAUUAUUUAAGUAGUGUUUCUGAUUUCGGUCAAUAUUUGGGCUAAGAUUUUCUAAAUUACGCCGACUGAAUAUCUCUGAUUGUGUAAGUUUAACAUGUCUUUUCAACGAUGGUGGAGUUUGUUCUGUACCCAAGCACUUGGAAGAGAUUAUAAUUAACCAAUGCCAUCAGCUGGUAGAUUUGUUUGUGCAAUGCAGCUCAAGUGAUCAGGCAACACUUGUCAACUCAGAAAUUCCAAGAGUUCAGAAGUUAAAGUUGUACGACUUACCAGAACUAGUAAUGUUGGUGGAGCCACAGAGUAUGUGGGAACACUUGGAGGAACUCACGGUGAUCGAUUGUGACGGAUUAAGGAAGUUGCCUCGCUCUUUGCAAACCUCCAUAAACAUCAAAAUAAUAAAAGGAGGAUCAGAAUGGUGGAGCCAACAGGAAUGGGAUGAUGAAAACUUCAAGUCAAAUUUAGAGCGUUGUUACAAAGAAUGGUAUUACUGAUGACAGAAGGAUCAAAGUUGACGUUGCUUCCGCUGCAUCUCAGGGGAUUAAAAAGGCAAAGGAACUUCCUGCACCAGGACAUAAAGUUUCGAGCUAAAAGUAAUCGGUGCAGUUUGCUGUGAUAUAUUUUCCUAUCAGACGUCUCAAGUUUUUUCUGCUGAUAAUCGUUCCUUGUUUGUACUAUCCUUGCUUCGUGGUUCCGAUAUUUUGGAUUGCUUUGAUUGUACACCGAGUAAUUUCUUGUUUCAUUUGUGUUGUAUGAUAAUCUUGUUUAUUUGUAAUAAACUGGUAUUCCUUCUGUGUUUAAACAUUCUAAAGCAUUCUUAAAUUGUACAUUAAAAAUUUAGCACAUUUUCUAUGUCUAUGUUCUCAAGAUAGCAUAGACAAACCAUAAGAAAGUUUUCAUAUGACAAGUUGGUAUAAAUAAGUACACCAUAUUUUCCUAUUCAAUACAAAGAUGAAAACCUAAAAAUAGAGGUGGUCUUGCAUGUAGUUG